rnacentral:rRNA from 1 species
AGGAUGAACGCUGGCGGCGUGCCUAACACAUGCAAGUCGAACGUCCUGUCUCGCAAGAGGCAGGGAGUGGCGGACGGGUGAGUACCACGUGGGUCAUCUACCGUGAGGUGAGGAAUACCGGCGAGAAAUCGCCGACAAGACCGCAUAGGCUCGAUGCAAGUCGAGCAAAGCUCUUUCGAGAGAGGGAGCGCCACACGAGGAGCCUGCGCCCGAUUAGCUAGCUGGUGGAGUAACGGUUCACCAGGGCGACGAUCGGUAGCUGGUCUGAGAGGACGAUCAGCCACACUGGGAUUGAGAACGGCCCAGACUCCUACGGGGGGCAGCAGUGAGGAAUUUUCGUCAAUGGGGGCAACCCUGAACGAGCAACGCCGCGUGCAGGAAGAAGGUUUUCGGAUCGUAAACUGCUUUUCUCGGGAAGAGAAUGGACGGUACCCGAGGAAUCAGCCCGGCUAACUACGUGCCAGCAGCCGCGGU